GAUGAAGAACGCAGCGAACUGCGAUAAGUAAUGUGAAUUGCAGAAUUCAGUGAAUCAUCGAGUCUUUGAACGCACAUUGCGCCCCCUGGCAUUCCGGGGGGCAUGCCUGUCCGAGCGUCAUUGCUGCCCUUCAAGCCCGGCUUGUGUGUUGGGUCGUCGUCCCCCCCGGGGGACGGGCCCGAAAGGCAGCGGCGGCACCGCGUCUGGUCCUCGAGCGUAUGGGGCUUUGUCACCCGCUCGAUUAGGGCCGGCCGGGCGCCAGCCGGCGUCUCCAACCUUCUAUUUUACCAGGUUGACCUCGGAUCAGGUAGGGAUACCCGCUGAACUUAAGCAUAUCAAUAAGCGGAGGA
rnacentral:misc_RNA from 1 species